ACUAUUUUGGCAGAAAAAGUGUAAUAGAUUUAGAAUCUAUAAAUAUGAUUAAUUAUCAUAAGUAGUA
rnacentral:tRNA from 1 species